rnacentral:tRNA from 1 species
UCUUCGCUAGUAUAUCGGUUAGUAUAAUCGCCUCUCAAACGGGAGAUCCUCGAGCUGGAAACAGCGACAAGGGUGCGCGAUAGAGCAGGGUUCGACUCCCUGGCGGAGAA